UACAGAGGGUGCAAGCGUUAAUCGGAUUUACUGGGCGUAAAGCGAGUGUAGGUGGUUUGCUAAGUCAGAUGUGAAAUCCCAGGGCUCAACCCUGGAACUGCAUUUGAUACUGGCAGGCUAGAGUGUGGUAGAGGAUAGUGGAAUUCCCGGUGUAGCGGUGAAAUGCGUAGAUAUCGGGAGGAACAUCAGUGGCGAAGGCGGCUAUCUGGACUAACACUGACACUGAGACUCGAAAGCGUGGGGAGCAAACAGG
rnacentral:rRNA from 2 species